rnacentral:rRNA from 1 species
AUUGAACGCUGGCGGCAGGCCUAACACAUGCAAGUCGAGCGGGUGAGAGGAGCUUGCUCCUUGAUUUAGCGGCGGACGGGCGAGUAAUGCCUAGGAAUCUGCCUAGUGGUGGGGGAUAACGUUCCGAAAGGAACGCUAAUACCGCAUACGUCCUACGGGAGAAAGCGGGGGAUCUUCGGACCUCGCGCCAUUAGAUGAGCCUAGGUCGGAUUAGCUAGUUGGUGAGGUAAAGGCUCCCCAAGGCGACGAUCCGUAACUGGUCUGAGUGGAUGAGCAGUCACACUGGAAUUGAGACACGGUCCAGACUCCUACGGGAGGCAGCAGUGGGGAAUAUUGGACAAUGGGCGAAAGACUGAUCCAGCCGUGCCGCGUGUGUGAAGAAGGUCUUCGGAUUGUAAAGCACUUUAAGUUGGGAGGAAGGGUAUUCACCUAAUACGUGAGUAUUUUGACGUUACCGACAGAAUAAGCACCGGCUAACUUCGUGCCAGCCGCCGCCGUAA